AGUUUAGCAGUCAUGAGCAUGGUAAGUGCUUAACUUCUAGUGUGAGUGUGUAACAUCAUUGUUGAUAACACUUCAGAUCCAUCAAUAUGUGGAAUAUGCAUUGACUUUUCAUCACAUGACAGUCUUGGUAUUUGUAAGCUUUUGGUGAUCUGAUAUGAUACAGAUUCAGGGUGUCUGAUAAAUGAGGACUGACUGAACUGUUGUUUCCUGUGUUUUUCUGGUCUAGCCAAAUUUCCACUAGAAUUGUUAUUUGGCCUUCAUUUGAGAAUUGUAGACUAUACCUUACAUACACUCAAAUGCUCUCGGGAAAGAAUUAGGACAGAGAUGCAUAAGAUCCAAAAUCGUCAACUUCUUUGUUAUUUCCAGAAGUGUCAGG
rnacentral:misc_RNA from 1 species